AUGGCAACGAACCAAGAUGUCGCGGCCGAGGAGAGGACGUUGGUGGCCGAGGAGAGGAGCGUGGCGGCCGAGGAGAGGAAGGUGGGCAUGGAGGAGCGAUCUAGAUUAUUGGAUUGGGAGAAGUACUUGCUCUUCAUGGACACAUCUAUCCUUAAUGAGGCGCAAAAGGAGUAUGUCAAUCUUGCCCGUGAAGAAGUCUUGAUCCAAAAAAGAGCCAUGAUUCGCGGCAUGGGUGGCGGUGGCCUUGGCGGCAUGGGUGGUGGUGGCCUUGGCGGCAUGGGAGGCAACGAUGGCUUUGGAGCUACCAUGGGCGGCAUGGGUGUCAUGGGUGGCUUUGGAGCUACCAUGCAGACCAUGGGAGGCAUGGGUGGCUUCGGAGCACCUCCGGUCGGCAUGGUCGGUAUGGGAGGCAUGAGUUUUGCGUCUCUCAUGGGAGGCAUGGGAGCACCUCCGGGCGGCAUGGGCGGAAUGUCUUUCAGUGUGCCUCACACAUCUUUGCAUGAAGAUGCCGUUGAAAAUCUUGCAAACACCUUCUGA
rnacentral:rRNA from 1 species